rnacentral:rRNA from 1 species
UCACAUCCUGGGGCUGAAGUCGGUCCCAAGGGUAUGGCUGUUCGCCAUUUAAAGUGGUACGCGAGCUGGGUUUAGAACGUCGUGAGACAGUUCGGUCCCUAUCUGCCGUGGGCGUUGGAAGAUUGAUGGGGGCUGCUCCUAGUACGAGAGGACCGGAGUGGACGAACCUCUGGUGUUCGGGUUGUGUCGCCAGACGCAUUGCCCGGUAGCUAAGUUCGGAAUCGAUAACCGCUGAAAGCAUCUAAGCGGGAAGCGAGCCCUGAGAUGAGUCUUCCCUGAUACUUUAAGUAUCCUAAAGGGUUGUCGGAGACUACGACGUUGAUAGGUCAGGUGUGUAAGUGCUGUGAGGCAUUGAGCUAACUGAUACUAAUUGCCCGUGAGGCUUAACCAUACAACACCCAAGGGGUUU